AGGACAUGUUGAGGAGAUAAUUUAGCCAUUUAAAUCAGCUGUGUUGGUUCAAGGACACAUGUAAAACCUGCAGGGACACCGGCCCUCGGUGCCCACCCCUGAUCUAAGCCAACCUCACCAUGCCAUCCAUUCAGCAUCAUGUACAACGGAGCUGGCGGAUUAGGUCCUCUGCCCUGGACUACGAGCCUGGGAAAAAGGAAGAAACCUCUGGCAGAACCAGGCUCAGGGAGGGCGGCCAUCUGCCUCGACCGGUUGGUGGAUAAGUGAGUGUUUUUUGUGCAUAUUACAUAUUUACUUACUGUGCAUGUUAUAUUAAAUAUUUAAAUGACAUAUAUACUUACCUGAAGCAGACAUGAUGUGG
ensembl:lncRNA